GCCCGGGUGCCGGAACUAGCAGACGGUCUGGACUUAAAAUCCAGUGGGGUUUAAACUCCGUGAGGGUGCAAGUCCCUCCCCGGGCA
rnacentral:tRNA from 1 species